rnacentral:misc_RNA from 1 species
CAACAUGAAGAACGCCCGGUUGCUCUAGAAUUGAAAGCACAAAGAUAUACCAUUCAGUUAUUAUUUUUCACAGUAAAAGAGGGAAGUUGGAAAAUUUUCAAUAUGAAAUGUUCCCAAUUUUUAAUAAAAUCAAAUACAUAAGACGUACAGUUUGCAAGAGAGGAACGUAUAAAGAGAAAAUUGAAUAUAAUCAAAAUAUUUAGGCAGAAUUUGGACACAGAUUAUG